CUCCCUCUUUCUCCAUGGACACUGACCUCCCCCCUCCGCCCACCUUCCCCUCGCUCACAGAUCUCCCCCCGCCUCCCCCUUCACCUCCCCCUCCACCAGCUAUAAGCCCGUCAAGCACCUUCCCGUUGCCACCUCGUCCCGUAUCUGCAGGUUCCCCUCUUCCUCCUCCGCCUCCUCUUCUGUCAGCACCACAUCUCAACACUGGCACCUCUGUUAAUGUGCCGCCACCGCCGCCCCCACCUCCCCUAAGACUGUAACAUUACAGUGUGUCUUGUACUUGGUAGAAUAACUUCUCAUAUUACUUGCAGUUACUCAGACUGUGAACAAGGACGUGAGAUCAACAUUCAUUUUGUUUCGUUUUUUAGCUUGAGAGCUUGCAGUGGUUUACGGCCUGUUGAAUGGCAGUUCUGUUGGUACAGACAGCCGCUCUACAGAUUCCUCCAACAUGUCUCAACAACACCUCGACUGCAUUCCUUAAAAACAAGCUGAAACAGGGAUUCUUGCUCUCCCUUGUCUGCUUAUCCCCCCCACCCCAAAAUGUGAUUUCCUUUCCUUAUUACACCUGCAUAUUGUUACCUUUAAUGGCAGUGGACUUUAGCCCAGCACAGCUGUCAAUAUACUGUGUAGCAAGAGCAUAACUGAUGAUAAGUUGCGUCAAUAGCUCCAAUCUAGGUGAUUUCUGCUUCUUAAACAAGGCUGUACAUUGAUAUAAGUCAACAUUCUGCUUAACCUACAUAUAGCUGAAGGUUUAAAGAAAAAUCUGAUGGACUUUCUUAUUUUUUUGGUUCCUGGGUUGAUUGUCCUCGUCCUUGUGUGCAUAUUUUGUUGCCUAACUUAUAAUAGAGAACCAGGACAAUACUGCUCACCUAGUCACAAUAAUUCUCCCGCUGUGUACACGAUCCCUAUACUGGACGAGCAGCAGCGGGACGAGGAGGAAGUAAUUCACAUUUACGAACUGUAUUUUCAGCCUCCUGUGUACAACUUAAGAAAUGACAGUCCUCCUCCUCCAUACAUACUUGAACCACCACCCUACAUCAACCCACCUUCACCACCACCCUACAUCAACCCACCACCCUGCCUCAACCAGUCACCAGCGCCGCCACCACCACUACCAUCACUACCAUCACUACUACUACCAGCACCACCACCCUACAUCAGUUCACCAUCAUCACCCUAACUCAGCCCAUAACCAUUUAUGCCUUCUUCCAUCCUUUCCAAAAUAUGAGCAUGUAUGUGGUCAUAAGUUUCAUUCGGGACAUUCGGUAUCUGUUUUAGAUUAAAUGUUGUAAUUCCACAUUGUGGGAGAAAGAAUCCUGUAUUGACAUAGUUCAUUUCGAAUUUGCUCAAAUGCACUAAUGCACUUACACGUAAAAUAUGUUUUGGUGAAAAGUUUUCUUGUAGUUUUUUUUUGUUUUUGCUGUUUAAUUGUAAUAAUCCUGCUUCACAACAAAUUCACAUUUAAAAAAACUGACCUGAUGUUUUUCAAAGGAAGACCAAGGAUGACUGUUUAAUUUAUAUACGUACAUAUAUAAAAGUCAAGGCAUUAUGACAGAGCAAUAUUCACAGACAGCAUCACAGUACUGAGAGUGUUUCUAUUUGAGUUACACAUCAUCUUAUUAAAUGGACUGGAACUGAAGAGGACACAGCUUAUUGUUGCAACCGUUAGGUUGUUGCCUCUCUAACUAACUUGACACCCUUGGACUAAACUUCAGCCCGAAGCCCUGGAAUAAUCCACUUAAACCUAUUGUCUCACUGUGUUAUGGAGCACUGUCUCUUCCCCU
ensembl:lncRNA